rnacentral:tRNA from 1 species
GCGGAUGUGGUGAAACGGUAGACACGCCACCUUGAGGGGGUGGUGGGCUUAGGCCCGUGGGAGUUCGAAUCUCCCCAUCCGCACCA